GAAAUAUGCCAAGGCGACGACAGAUUCAGAUGUUAUGAGCUGUGGUUCACGAUGAUUAAUCAAAGAAAGAGUUGAUAGCGACAGUGGUUACGGAUACAAUUUGAAAGAGGUGCCGAUUUCGUCUUGCGGAAGAAAAGGUAUUAAAUGGCAACAUUACUUGAAUUUAUUCGAGAACAAUGUGUUCUUGCAGUUUUAGAAAGUGCACAGUCAAAAGAGCGCCCAUGGAUCAAACUGAACAGUUUUGAGCUUACAAGACUACCAGAGAGGCUUUUUGGUAUAAAAAAUAUAGUGGGGCUAUUCCUUAAUGAUAAUAAAUUAAAUACAUUACCAACAGAACUACUUCAGCUUCAAACUUUGGAAUAUUUAGCAGUGGACAACAACAAUUUAUCAAAAUUGCCAUCACCCCUAAAUAAUCUGACAAAUAUUGUUUUUCUCAACCUAAGCUAUAAUCCCAUGAAGCAUCUUACAGCAGAGAUAGGGAAUCUGAAGAACCUUGAAGUCUUGUGGAUUAACCACAUGGGCCUGGUAGCUUUGCCACCAGAAAUAAGAAAUCUUCAAAUGUUAAACACUCUUGGAAUAAGAGGGAAUCUUCUGAUGCAGCUACCAGAAGAGAUUGGCUACUUAGGUUCACUUAGGUGGCUCACUGUUGAAAAUAAUCAAGUAUCUGAAGUUCCAGAAAGUUUUAGCCAGCUGGAAAAUCUCAUUCAUUUCAAUAUAAGUAAAAACAACAUCCACAAAAUUCCUACAGUGAUAGCAGAGAUGAAGUUUCUGCAGUACUGCUACUUGAGAGAUAAUUUUAUUGAAGAAAUUCCUGUAGAGUUCAUGAAAAAUGUGAAACAUAUCAAAAAGCUAGAUGUGACAGGAAACCCUCUUUCUUCACUUCCUUCAGAAAUAGAGAAAUUCCCAAAUCUAUGGCUUACUAAAACUGAUAUUAUGAAUUCAGAAGACUUAAACCAAACUUCAGAAAGUGAAUCAGAAGACUGGGAGAACUCUGUUGCAUCUAGUGAAAUUGAUAGUACAGAUGCCAGUCAUAAUGAUGAGGAGAGUGAUGAUGAAGACCAAUAUGAACCAGCUGCUUUUAUAACUGAGACAUUACCUGCGUUGUGCAAAUUUCUUGGCUCAGGAAUCUAAGGUUGGAAAAAUCUCAUCCAGCGAUGGUGUGCAUUUGUAUGGUGCUUUAGCUGACUGCCCUGGCAGUACUAUUCCACAGAUGCAAGCAAGUAUUCAGCAAGAUACACAGAAUGAAAACAAAGUUAAGGAACUGGCUGUCUAUGUCUACAAUGAAUGGAACUCUCCUGGCGUCACAGUGUGCCAAAUGGUCCAACGGCUGCUGCACUACAUUGCAGCUAAAGGCGACUAAGUCUGUGAUUGAAACAAUGACCCCUACUCAUCUUUACCUGUUGAAGGAUGUAGAUGAAGUUGAUAAGCUUCCAACUAUAACAGAUGGUUAUAUUGAAGUCAGUGACAGUGAAUAGAUUCAUCAACACAAGUACAAACAGUUCUAGCAUCAAUAAAUAGUUUUAAUUUUAUUGUGACUAUGAAACAUAGGCCAAUUAGUCCUACAGGCAUAGGCUGAGAUGGUAAUAGGUGGGCAGAGAAUCAAAAAUUAAAAUUUAUGAUACUUUCAUUGGUAGUAUGAUUUUUUUUGUAGUGGGUUAUAUGAUCCAUUUGCACUGACUUCCUAGAGCAGCAGUGUACCUGAGUACAGGAGGAAUUCGAAUAUCAUUGUGAUAGUGAUAUUGUUUGUGUCACUGGUGGA